rnacentral:rRNA from 1 species
GACGAACGCUGGCGGCGUGCUUAACACAUGCAAGUCGAACGGAAAGGCCCUGCUUUUGUGGGGUGCUCGAGUGGCGAACGGGUGAGUAACACGUGAGUAACCUGCCCUUGACUUUGGGAUAACUUCAGGAAACUGGGGCUAAUACCGGAUAGGAGCUCCUGCUGCAUGGUGGGGGUUGGAAAGUUUCGGCGGUUGGGGAUGGACUCGCGGCUUAUCAGCUUGUUGGUGGGGUAGUGGCUUGCCAAGGCUUUGACGGGUAGCCGGCCUGAGAGGGUGACCGGCCACAUUGGGCCUGCGAUACGGCCCAGACUCCUACGUGAGGCAGCAGUGGGGAAUAUUGCACAACGGUCGCAAGCCUGAUGCAGCGACGCCGCGUGCGGGAUGACGGCCUUCGGGUUGUAAACCGCUUUCGCCUGUGACGAAGCGUUAGUGACGGUACUGGGUAAAGAAGCACCGGCUAACUACGUG